GUCCACGGCCAUACCACCCUGAACGCGCCUGAUCUCAUCUGAUCUCGGAAGCUAAGCAGGGUCGGGCCUGGUUAGCACUUGGAUGGGAGACCGCCUGGGAAUACUGGGUGCUGUAGGCU
ensembl:rRNA 5S_rRNA 5S ribosomal RNA